rnacentral:rRNA from 1 species
GUGCCAGCAGCCGCGGUAAUUCCAGCUCCAAUAGCGUAUAUUAAAGUUGUUGCAGUUAAAAAGCUCGUAGUUGGAUCUCGGGUCCAGGCUUGUGGUGCAGCUUAGGCUGCUUACUGCUCGUCCUGACCUACCUACCGGUUUUCCCUUGGUGCUCUUAAGUGAGUGUCUUGGGUGGCCGGAACGUUUACUUUGAAAAAAUUAGAGUGCUCAAAGCAGGCUUUCGCCUGAAUAUUAGUGCAUGGAAUAAUUGAAUAGGACCUCGGUUCUAUUUUGUUGGUUUUCGGAACUCGAGGUAAUGAUUAAGAGGGACAGACGGGGGCAUUCGUAUUACGGUGUUAGAGGUGAAAUUCUUGGAUCGCCGUAAGACGAACUACUGCGAAAGCAUUUGCCAAGAAUGUUUUC